rnacentral:tRNA from 1 species
GCAGAGAUGGCGGAACGGCAGACGCGUUAGAUUCAGGUUCUAAUGUGAGUAAUCACGUGGGGGUUCAAAUCCCCUUCUCUGCA